CAGUCGCCGCGGGAAUACGUAGGGUGCGAGCGUUAAUCGGAAUUACUGGGCGUAAAGCGUGCGCAGGCGGUUCGUUAAGACAGAUGUGAAAUCCCCGGGCUUAACCUGGGAACUGCAUUUGUGACUGGCGAGCUAGAGUAUGGCAGAGGGGGGUAGAAUCCCACGUGUAGCAGUGAAAUGCGUAGAGAUGUGGAGGAAUACCGAUGGCGAAGGCAGCCCCCUGGGCCAAUACUGACGCUCAUGCACGAAAGCGUGGGGAGCAAACAGGAUUAGAUACCCGGGUAGUCCCUGUCUCUUAUAC
rnacentral:rRNA from 1 species